UACAGAGGGUGCGAGCGUUAAUCGGAAUUACUGGGCGUAAAGCGUGCGUAGACGGCUAUCUAAGUCGGGUGUGAAAGCCCCGGGCUCAACCUGGGAAUUGCAUUCGAGACUGAAUAGCUAGGGUACGGUAGAGGGAAGUGGAAUUUCCGGUGUAGCGGUGAAAUGCGUAGAUAUCGGAAGGAACAUCAGUGGCGAAAGCGACUUCCUGGACCAGUACCGACGUUCAGGCACGAAAGCGUGGGGAGCAA
rnacentral:rRNA from 1 species